AUACGGAGGGUGCAAGCGUUAUUCGGAAUCACUGGGCGUAAAGGACGCGUAGGCGGGUUGGCAAGUCAGAUGUGAAAUCCUACAGCUUAACUGUAGAACUGCAUUUGAAACUGCUAACCUAGAGUAUGGGAGGGGGAGAUGGAAUUAGUGGUGUAGGGGUAAAAUCCGUAGAUAUCACUAGGAAUACCGAAAGCGAAGGCGAUCUCCUGGAACAUAACUGACGCUAAGGCGUGAAAGCGUGGGGAGCAAGCAGGAUUAGAAACCCUAGUAGUCC
rnacentral:rRNA from 1 species